UCGUUCGAUGUAGUUAGGAACAGUUCUCUUUAACCCGUGAUGAUUACGCCCUGUCUUAAAUGGCAGGUGCCACCAAAUACCGAACACUCGUUGAGGUAUGGUGGUCCGAAUGUGAAGCUGGGAGUACAAUUUGGUACGAGAGCACCAGCGCCCCCGAUCUAAGUGAUGACGCAUGCGUCGGAACAAUGAAGACGGCUGGCAAACAUUCAGGAGUCGCAAAAGUGACGCGUAUGAAUGGAUUAACGAGAUUCCCACUGUCCCUAACUACUAUCUAGCGAAACCACAGCCAAGGGAACGGGCUUGGCAAAGACAGCGGGGAAAGAAGACCCUGUUGAGCUUGACUCUAGUCUGACUUUGUGAAGAAUCAUGCAUGGUGUAGUAUAAGUGGGAGUGUUUCGGCACGUCAGUGAAAUACCACUACUUUCAUCG
rnacentral:ncRNA from 1 species